UUUUUUUUUUUUUGAGACAGAGUCUCGCUCUGUUGCCCAGGCUGGAGUGCAGUGGUGCGAUCUCGGCUCACUGCAACCUCUGCCUCUGGGGUUCAGGUGAUUUUCCUGCCUCUGUCUCCCGAUUAGCUGGGGUUCCAGGUGCCACCACCACAUCUGGCUAAUUUUUUUUUUUUUGCAUUUUUACUAGAUAUGGGGUUUCACCAUGUUGGCCAGGCUGGUCUCAAGCUCCUGACCUCGUGAUCCACCUGCCUCGGCCUCCCAAAGUGCUGGGAUUACAGGCGUGAGCCGCCGCCCCCCACCUGAAUGUAAGUUUUUAAGGGCAAGUGCUUCCAGGAGUCCCUGUCCCUGACCCCAAAGAGUUUGCCAUCUACCUAGGGACUCAGAUACAAGGGCAGGCCUCCUGAGACCUGGACAGAGAGGGACAUGAGUGAGGAGGAAAUAUCUCAAAGCAGAGGGAACAGCAGGUGGGGACAGCGAGAGCGGGAAGAGAGAAAUGCUCCUUUGAGAGAACUGGAAGGAGCUUCCCAAACCCAGAUGACAGGAGGAGUGCUGGUGAAAGAAGAGGUGGGGAGGGUAUCCAGGCCCGAAUCAGGAUGCGCCUCAGUCUUGUUAAGGAGCUUUAACAGUUUCAGGACAAGGUGAGUCACUGGGGAUUUAAUGACGAAAAUGGUAUGUGCAUCACAGGAACCCCGGUCUUGAGCUGCUCAUGUGCAGACUCAGGAAGGCCGCACCGUGUAUAUCUGUGAAAUAUCUGUUAAACACUGCGAUGCUCUUCCCAAGUAAUUCCAGGUGGUGUGAAUGCUUGCCGCGGGAUCUGUGACAGGCACAUGGUUAAAGGGGAACCCGCUCCACAGAACGGAUCUUUUGGCCGCACAGACCUGCAGACUGUGGUGCUCAUGGCUAGUGAUCACCAGCAUUUCUGGGUCUUCUCCCCUUCGUACACACUUGGAAGACACAGUUUCACAACCGCCCGUGCAUCGGGCAGGGCUGCGCAAUUAGACCUGGCCCACAGGCUGUGACUGGCUAUGAACUUUCUCUGUCAUUUUUGGGCUGACAAACUUAAACACCCUUUCGACAAAGCUCUUCAGUCCACUUUCCCUCUUCACUGCAGCCUAAGUCCUGCGGACAUGGAAG
rnacentral:lncRNA from 1 species